UGGGGAAUUUUGGACAAUGGGGGAAACCCUGAUCCAGCCAUCCCGCGUGUGCGAUGAAGGCCUUCGGGUUGUAAAGCACUUUUGGCAGGAAAGAAACGUCGCGGGUUAAUACCCCGCGAAACUGACGGUACCUGCAGAAUAAGCACCGGCUAACUACGUGCCAGCAGCCGCGGUAAUACGUAGGGUGCAAGCGUUAACCGGAAUUACUGGGCGUAAAGCGUGCGCAGGCGGUUCGGAAAGAAAGAUGUGAAAUCCCAGAGCUUAACUUUGGAACUGCAUUUUUAACUACCGGGCUAGAGUGUGUCAGAGGGAGGUGGAAUUCCGCGUGUAGCAGUGAAAUGCGUAGAUAUGCGGAGGAACACCGAUGGCGAAGGCAGCCUCCUGGGAUAACACUGACGCUCAUGCACGAAAGCGUGGGGAGCAAACAGGAUUAGAUACCCUGGUAGUCCACGCCCUAAACGAUGUCAACUAGCUGUUGGGGGCCUUCGGGCCUUGGUAGCGCAGCUAACGCGUGAAGUUGACCGCCUGGGGAGUACGGUCGCAAGAUU
rnacentral:rRNA from 1 species